GACGAACGCUGGCGGCGUGCCUAAUACAUGCAAGUAGAACGCUGAAGGAGGAGCUUGCUUCUCUGGAUGAGUUGCGAACGGGUGAGUAACGCGUAGGUAACCUGCCUGGUAGUGGGGGAUAACUAUUGGAAACGAUAGCUAAUACCGCAUAAUAGCAGUUGUUGCAUGAUAACUGUUUGAAAGGUGCAAUUGCACCGCUACCAGAUGGACCUGCGUUGUAUUAGCUAGUUGGUGGGGUAACGGCUCACCAAGGCGACGAUACAUAGCCGACCUGAGAGGGUGAUCGGCCACACUGGGACUGAGACACGGCCCAGACUCCUACGGGAGGCAGCAGUAGGGAAUCUUCGGCAAUGGACGGAAGUCUGACCGAGCAACGCCGCGUGAGUGAAGAAGGUUUUCGGAUCGUAAAGCUCUGUUGUAAGAGAAGAACGAGUGUGAGAGUGGAAAGUUCACACUGUGACGGUACCUUACCAGAAAGGGACGGCUAACUACGUG
rnacentral:rRNA from 1 species